CAGGCAGGGUCAAGGCAGGCAGGGGUCAGUAACCAGAGGUGGGGCAACGGUACCGGGUCGGCAGGCAGGCAGGCAGGCAGGCUCAGGGUCAGGGUAAGGCAGGAGUCAGUAACCAGAGGCGGGGCAACGGUACCGGGCGGCAGGCAGGCUCAGGGUCAGGGUAAGGCAGGGGUCAGUAACCAGAGGUGGAGCAACGGUACCAGACGGCAGGCAGGCAGGCUCAGGGUCAGGGUAAGGCAGGGGUCAGUAACCAGAGGCGGGGCAACGGUACCGGGCGGCAGGCAGGGUCAGGGUAAGGCAGGGGUCAGUAACCAGAGGUGGGGCAACGGUACCGGGCGGCAGGCAGGGUCAGGGUAAGGGUAAGGCAGGAGUCAGUAACCAGAGGCGGGGCAACGGUACCGGGCGGCAGGCAGGCUCAGUGUCAGGGUAAGGCAGGGGUCAGUAACCAGAGGUGGGGCAACGGUACCGGGCGGCAGGCAGGCUCACGGUAAGGGUAAGGCAGGAGUCAGUAACCAGAGGUGGGGCAACGGUACCGGGCGGCAGGCAGGCUCAGUGGAAACGCAUCUUGCUGUGAUGUCACACUGGUAUUUCACCCAGUAGAUAUGGGAGCUUAUCAAAAUUAGAUUUUUGGGGGAAUUCUUUGUGGGUCUGUGUAAUCUGAGGGAAAUAUGUGUCUCUAAUAUGGACAUACAGUUGGCGAGAGGUUAGGAAAUGCAGCUCAGUUUC
ensembl:lncRNA